UACGGGGGGGGGCAAGCGUUGUUCGGAAUUACUGGGCGUAAAGGGCGCGUAGGCGGUCUGCUAAGUUGGAUGUGAAAACUCUGGGCUUAACCCAGAGCCUGCAUUCAAUACUGACAGGCUAGAGUUCUGGAGGGGAUAGCGGAAUUCCUGGUGUAGCGGUGAAAUGCGCAGAUAUCAGGAGGAACACCGGUGGCGAAGGCGGGUUUCUCUGGGCAUGUCCCUGACGCUGAGGGAGCAGAAAGUGUGGGAGGCGAACAGG
rnacentral:rRNA from 1 species